AAACGCAGCCAUGGGGUUAUGUCGGCGGUCAUGCAUUUGAAGACGCCUCUCCCAGCCAAGGCAGAAAGCAGCAAAUUGUCGUUUCCCCCCUUGAUCAAAGGGGAUAUUAGUUAAAAGAUGACCAUGAGGAUGGAACAUUCCCUGAUAAUGUGCCUGAUAAUUAUUACUGUCCAGUGUUCGGCUGCAGGAAAAAAGAACUCAUUCCAGGGUAAUAAUAUUAUGGAGAUCGCAAGUUCAGAUUGAUGAGACAAAGGAAAGGCCCACAACCCAUUGUAAUCCAAGGUAAUGGUAUAGCUUCAGCCUUAUUUUGGCAUUAAUAUUGCAACCCCAUGUCUAAUAUAAUAGCAGUCGAUAAAAAAAUUCUUCUAAUUAAACUUCGCCGAAAUGUGGGGUAGUUGACUAUGAUCACUUGCUUUAGAAUUAACUUUUCCUUCGCAUUUCUCCUUCAUUUCCAUUGAUUUGAACGAGUCUUCCUCGAUAAAUAAAUCCAUUCAAUGUAUAUGAUGUUU